UGGCGGAUAACAUGCACCAUGAUAUCGUGUGUAAAAUUAGUGGCGCAGGCGCCCCGCGUGAAUUCUCUAUCCUACCUCCACCUCCUACUCUUUAUCCUAUCUUCCGCUCCGUCGUUGGGUUCCUGAUACCGUUCGCUCGCUCAGUCAGUGGCCGUCGUUCGAGGUUGGUCUCGACGAAGCGCAACGAAUUUGACUGCGUUGAUUCUUCCGGUUCCGUUUGGUACCCGAUACCAUUCUUCGAGUUGACGAUUCCUUGGACGAGUCUAUGACGUUUUAAUCUCUCUCAUCGAAGGCGACGAGUGCGGAGGAACGAGACGCGCGCCUUGGUCCUCGGCGGUCGUUCUCUGGUCGGAUUCUGAUCCGAUACGCUUUAUCCAGGUUCCAUCUGAUCCGCGAUAUUGAACUACAGUAUAUCUGUCGAUUCUCGGCACUGUAGGACAUCGCGGAUAGACGCGAGAUCAAUCUCGAUCUUUUUACUCGUUAAACGUUAUUCGUUUCGAGAAGAUCCGUUUGUUUCUUAACGUCUGUCCGUUCAUCGUACCGAUCUCGGGUCGAGACGACAACGCGCUCCACGUGCGGAUCUCUCGAUAGACCGACUAGGUCAGUUUCGUUCUGUUCACCGCGUCGCGAGAUCCAUCGUACAAAGUGGAGCGCCGUAAGGAACGUGGACGGAUCGCCGUGGAGAGCGUCCACGUGGUGGAGACGGCCAGCCUUGGAAGUGGUAGCACCGGAAGUGGCGGAGGCAAUGGUGUUGGCGAUGCAUCGGGUGGCGGCGACGCGAGCAGCGGAGGCGGCGGAAUACCAUCCGGACUACCCUUCCAAGUGGGAUAUCGAGAAGCUGGCCAAGAAUACACGCUCUAUCUACUCGCCGCUCGCGAACAGGAUCGCGCCGAAUGGAUACGUGCCAUACGCGCUGUGUGCAGUGAGAAUUCGGGCUUGAGCGGGCGUUACCACGCCGGUCUCUGGAGCGGGAAACGUUGGUCUUGCUGCCGAUUAUCGACACGUUCCGCCGAAGGCUGCGACACUUGCAGUUCCUGGUCCGCGAAAUCUGCUACGAACGCCACGAAUCCGUCCUCAACGACUACAUCGGUUUCGACAACAUCGACAUCUGUGCCCGGCAGUACCAUUAACAACACCAUCUCGACGACCACCGUCACAUCUGAUCAUCGUGCACAAUUAACGAACGCUGAGGCGAAUAAUAAUCCGAUCAUCCAAACCCAGGCCCGUUCAACGAUCGGUUCGUACUUUAUAUUUAUUGCAUGCUUUUGUCUUUGUCUUUUACAAAGCUCACUGAGAUUUUAAUUGGUCCACUGGCGAAUCGAUAUAUUUGUCGUUUUAAUAUCAACAUGAGAGUUCCGUUAUUAUCGUAUCGUUUAAUAGCUAGGAUUUGUUAAUUGACGCAAUCGAUAGAAAGAAUCAAUU